AAAAAAAAAAAAAAAAAAGACAACCAAUCCCUACAAUCUCACCUCCCUUAAAUUCACCGUAUCCACCCAUCAUUACAUAAGCAUCCAGGAAAACACUUCAACACUAAAAAUGAAAAUACUACCAAAGCAAUCAACAUCAUGAAUCACAAGUUCAGCCACCCUACUUUAGAACAAGAAUUGCCAUCUGUAGUUCAGGCUAAAUGACAAGGAUACAAAAUUUUACUAACAAAAUUAAAAACAAAUGCAACCAACUAAAUGACAUAAUUCCAUCUUAGGAACUACACAUCAUUCAACUGGCCAGCGGCAUGAACGAUCCAAAUCAAAUCCAAAUAUGAAGUGGCAAAGCCCCAAAAUAAUCGAAAUCAAUAAACCAUCGGUCUAACAAAUAAAUAUGCUAAAAAGUCUAAAAAUAAAAUUCAGAACAGGGCAGGCAAACGAAACGCCAGAAAUUUUCUAGCAUCAAUAAUUUACAAAGUGAAUCCGCUCCCUCCCAACAAAACAAAAAUGCAAAUUUAGGCAAUUGAUCAAAUGGAAAAUUUCCCCUCAAAGCAGAAGAAUUUUCAAAUGGGAAUGUAUAAAUAACCAAAAUAUCCAAAUUAACCAACUCUACAAUCAGUUUAGUUAAACCACAGAAACUGGCUUUAUUGAAAAGGGUAUUCUAAAAAUCAUCUACAAGCCAAAAAUCAAGACCCAACUAAUCAAUUUAACUAGAGGGACUGAAGUUUAAAACCAACCU
rnacentral:misc_RNA from 1 species